rnacentral:rRNA from 1 species
UACGUAGGUGGCAAGCGUUGUCCGGAAUUAUUGGGCGUAAAGCGCGCGCAGGCGGUCCUUUAAGUCUGAUGUGAAAGCCCACGGCUCAACCGUGGAGGGUCAUUGGAAACUGGGGGACUUGAGUGCAGAAGAGGAGAGUGGAAUUCCACGUGUAGCGGUGAAAUGCGUAGAGAUGUGGAGGAACACCAGUGGCGAAGGCGACUCUCUGGUCUGUAACUGACGCUGAGGCGCGAAAGCGUGGGAAGCAAACAGG